GAUGACGUAACGGGCGAGGGUGUGGGUGUGGCGCAGCAAGCCGGAGCGGCUGGCGGACGGGCGGCGCGUGCGCGUGUGCGUGGAGGUGUUCG